UCGAUAAGAAGAUAGAGGGCUGAGAAAGUAACUCUUGAAUUGGCUAUAGGGUAAUAGUUGCUGCUGCGGCCAUGGAUAUCUAUCCUUCACGAUCAUCGUUUGGAUUUAGUUCUUAGAGACGGUCUCUAUCAUUUGCAUGGUGAUACAUAUGUGAACUUACUUGAACAAGUAGUGAAUGCCAUUAGAUAUGAGAGAUCCAGAAUUGAGAUAAGCUUAAAGUAUAUGUGGACCC
rnacentral:lncRNA from 1 species